CGUAGGGUGCGAGCGUUAAUCGGAAUUACUGGGCGUAAAGCGUGCGCAGGCGGUUUUGUAAGACAGAUGUGAAAUCCCCCGGGCUCAACCUGGGACCCGCAUUUGUGACUGCAAGGCUAGAGUACGGUAGAGGGGGAUGGAAUUCCGCGUGUAGCAGUGAAAUGCGUAGAUAUGCGGAGGAACACCGAUGGCGAAGGCAAUCCCCUGGACCUGUACUGACGCUCAUGCACGAAAGCGUGGGGAGCAAACAGGAUUAGAUACCCUGGUAGUCCACGCCCUAAACGAUGUCAACUGGUUGUUGGGUCUUUACUGACUCAGUAACGAAGCUAACGCGUGAAGUUGACCGCCUGGGGAGUACGGCCGCAAGGUUG
rnacentral:rRNA from 1 species